UUGUAAUAAUGUUGCAUUUUGAAUUUGUUGAAUUCAGAGUUUGGUAUUGGAAAAUAAUAAUUAAAGGAGAUAUUUGGGGGUAUAAAAAGAGCAAGGGACUGGUACGAAGAAUAUCGAUAACACAAAUACCAAAUCUAUCACAAAUCUGCGAUAGAAUAUUGAGAAAUUUUUUCUUUUUUGUUAGUUAAUAAGUCUUUGGAAAAUAGUAUCUCUAAUAAAAAUUAAUAAUUAGGAUAAAAAUUAUAUGAACAUCGUCCUUAGACUCCAAGUUUGGAGACCGCAUGAGUUUGGAGAUGAUAUGAAUGGGCGCCGCGUGGCCCAUCAGACGAGCAGAAGGGGGCCCUUUCUCUCUCUCUCUCUAUAAAAACACUGAGGGUGCAUGACUUUUUUUUUUUAUUUUUGUUUCCCCUCAUUUGAUAGGCCACGCAGCGUUCAUCUGCAUUAUCCCUAAAUUAAUAAUUUGAAGACGAUGUCCAUACAAAAUUUGUCCUACUAAUUACACAUAUAAUGCAUGAUGUAAGAAUUUUUCAACGCUUAG
rnacentral:lncRNA from 1 species